GUUAUUUUGGCAGAUUAGUGCAAUAGAUUUAGAAUCUUUUUAUGUAAAGAUUUUUUUACAGAUAAUA
rnacentral:tRNA from 1 species